rnacentral:siRNA from 1 species
UGAUAACGUGGGUCAUGAUGA